CUAGCCUCCUCUUCCCCUGCUUCUGCUUGAUGUUGUUGCUCAGCGUUGUCAGCACCGCACGCCGCGGCGCCCACGUAGCCAGUGUAGAUUGUGGCAGAGGACUGUCCAGAAUCACGAUCUCCUCACCCCUCUCUCGUUGAACGUAGAUUCCCUGUCUCUUCAGGGGUGAGGCGGAGGAGGAGGCUGGGGAGACAGCGGAGGCGGCAGCAGUGGCAGCGGAGGUGGCAGCCAAGCUGCGAGCUUUCUGCUGCUGCCAAUAGUUGAGCAUGCGCUGCGGCGGGCUAUCCGGCAGGAUGUAUGAUGGAGAAGAUGUUGAUUGUGAAGUCAUCGUGAAGGUGGCUCAGAUGUAAAUGAUAAUUUUCCUCUCAUCGCUUCUGUUUAUAUAGCAUACGUUUCUCUCUCUGUUCCAGGCUCGUGCGAGCAAGAGCGAAGUGUGCUACAAGGCGAAAAAAAUUCAAAUUUCUCUCCAACAACACGUGCUCCCACAUCGUUAUCGGUUUCAUUUUCUCGCCUCUCAACUCGAGUUCCGAACCUCAUAUCCACUUGAGCUCUCGUGAGGGAAACAUACCUGAGACAAGCAUACCCGAGGAGAUAGCUGUCAUUUCGUGAAAUCAACACAUAUAUGAGCUGUCGAACGGAAAUCAUUUGAUGAAUAUAUAAGCUCAGUAUAUAUUAUAAAUAGGCAUUUUAAUGAAUUACGUAAAUAUGAUUCUGUUUCUUUAGAAAAAAUGGCGAGAAUACAAAGUUAUCAUUGUGAACUAACUG